rnacentral:rRNA from 1 species
GACGAACGCUGGCGGCGUGCUUAACACAUGCAAGUCGAGCGAUGAAGUUCCUUCGGGAAUGGAUUAGCGGCGGACGGGUGAGUAACACGUGGGUAACCUGCCUCAUAGAGGGGAAUAGCCUUCCGAAAGGAAGAUUAAUACCGCAUAAGAUUGUAGUACCGCAUGGUACAGCAAUUAAAGGAGCAAUCCGCUAUGAGAUGGACCCGCGUCGCAUUAGCUAGUUGGGGAGGUAACGGCUCACCAAGGCGACGAUGCGUAGCCGACCUGAGAGGGUGAUCGGCCACAUUGGGACUGAGACACGGCCCAGACUCCUACGGGAGGCAGCAGUGGGGAAUAUUGCACAAUGGGGGAAACCCUGAUGCAGCAACGCCGCGUGAGUGAUGACGGUCUUCGGAUUGUAAAACUCUGUCUUCAGGGACGAUAAUGACGGUACCUGAGGAGGAAGCCACGGCUAACUACGUGCCAGCAGCCGCCGUAA